CUUAGUGGCGGACGGGUGAGUAACGCGCGGGUAACCUGCCCCAUACCGGGGGAUACCACCUGGAAACAGGUGCUAAUACCGCAUAAGCGCACGGGAGCGCAUGCUCCUGUGUGAAAAACUCCGGUGGUAUGGGAUGGACCCGCGUCUGAUUAGCCAGUUGGCAGGGUAACGGCCUACCAAAGCGACGAUCAGUAGCCGGCCUGAGAGGGUGGACGGCCACAUUGGGACUGAGACACGGCCCAAACUCCUACGGAAGGCAGCAG
rnacentral:rRNA from 1 species